rnacentral:rRNA from 1 species
AUUGAACGCUGGCGGCAGGCCUAACACAUGCAAGUCGAGCGAGCGGCGGACGGGUGCGUACUGUAUGGUGCUCUGCCCGAUAGCGGGGGAUAACUACUGGAAACGGUUGCUCAUACCGCAUCCUAUCGGAUGACCCCCUAUGGGAUUAGCUAGUAGGUGGGGGAAAGGAUCCCCUCGGCGACGAUCUCUAGCUGGUCUGAGAGCAGGAUCAUCAACACGGGGACGGAGAAACGGCCCAGACUCCUACGGGAGGCAGCAGUGGGGAAUAUUGCACAAUGGGCGCAAGCCUGAUGCAGCCAUGACGCGUGUAUGAAGAAGGCCUUAGGGUUGUAAAGUACUUUCAGCGGGGAGGCGGUACCCGCAGAAGAAGCACAGGCUAACUCCGUGCCAGCAGCCGCGGUAAUAC